UCAAGGACGAACGCUGGCGGCGUGCUUCAAACAUGCAAGUCGAACGAGUAUUUGAGCUUGCUUAGAUUACUAGUGCGGACUGGUGAGUACGCGUGAGUAAUCUGCCUAUCACAGGGGGAUAACAGAGGGAAACUUUCUGCUAAUACCGCAUAAGACCACAGGAUGGCAUCAUCAAGGGGUCAAAGGUUACGAUCUGGUGAUAGAUGAGCUUGCGUAUCAUUAGCUAGUUGGUGAGGGUAAAGGCCCACCAAGGCGACGAUGAUUAGCCGAUCUGAGAGGAUGACCGGCCACACUGGGACUGAGAUACGGCCCAGACUCCUACGGGAGGCAGCAGUUAGGAAUAUUGGGCAAUGGAGGAAACUCUGACCCAGCAACGCCGCGUGAAGGAAGAAGGUUUUUCGGACUGUAAACUUCUGAUCUAAGGGAAAAAGAAAGUUGAUGGUACCUUAGGAGAAAGCCACGGCUAACUACGUGCCAGCAGCCGCGGUAA
rnacentral:rRNA from 1 species